GCCAACCUCUGACACAUCAAUCAAACUCAAUGGCCUAUAAUCUUCCCCAUUUGCAGAACUUUCUAUCACUUAUAAGCACGAUAGUAACAUUAUCUCAUCUGAUAUUACAAGCACAUUUGUGUUAUGAUUUUCAACAUCCUCAAUUUACAGGAAGAGACUCAUUCUGGUGUAGUCAUGCCCCAUUGAACAGAGCCAAACCUGGAUAUAAUUAUUUCCUCUGAAGUGAAAGAGGCCUAAUAUGGAAGAAGC
rnacentral:lncRNA from 1 species